UUACCCGAGGUCAACCGUGGUCCAGAAGGAAACGAUCCUUCUCACAUACUGUCAGCAGCAGCCUACUGCUACAUCACGGCGUCUGUGGCCCUCAGCUCCCUUCUCUCGUCACGUAGGCACGUUACCAUCCUACAUCACCACAGAAGGAGAGUGAGUGCAGUACGGCAGGAUAAUGACCCGCAAAGAUGUCCAUCCCUAAUCCUUGGAACCUGUGCCUUGGUGAACUUACAUGGAAAAAGGGGCAUUACAGAUGUGAUUACAGCUGCAUAAUAAUCCAUCAUAUCACUGAACCAUCAUCACACGAAUGGAAGGCUAGUGAAGUCUUUUAUCCUGCUAUUUCAAAUAGGACUGCAGUGGCAUAUCCUUGUAUAAGUGCCUGUUCUUACACAUAUCAGUUAAUAAAGAAAGCAAAUCUUAAGAAAUGG